UACGAAGGGGGCUAGCGUUGCUCGGAAUCACUGGGCGUAAAGCGCACGUAGGCGGAUUGUUAAGUCAGGGGUGAAAUCCUGGAGCUCAACUCCAGAACUGCCUUUGAUACUGACGGUCUUGAGUUCGGGAGAGGUGAGUGGAACUGCGAGUGUAGAGGUGAAAUUCGUAGAUAUUGGGAAGAACACCGGUGGCGAAGGCGGCGCUCUGGACCGAGACUGACGCUGAGGCGCGAAAGCGUGGGGAGCAAACAGG
rnacentral:rRNA from 1 species